AUUGAACGCUGGCGGCAGGCCUAACACAUGCAAGUCGAGCGGAGAGGCGGACGGGUGAGUAAUGCCUAGGAAUCUGCCUGGUAGUGGGGGAUACAGUCCGGAAACGGGCGCUAAUAUCGCAUACUAUCAGAUGAGCCUAGGUCGGAUUAGCUAUUUGGUGGGGUAAAGUGCUACCAAGGCGACCAUCCGUAACUGGUCUGAGAGGAUGAUCAGUCACACAGAGACAGGGACACGGUACAAACGCCUACGUGAGGCAGGCGUGUGGAAUAUUGGACAAUGGGCGAAAGCCUGAUCCAGCCAUGCAGCGUGUGUGAAGAAGGUCUUCGGAUUGUAAAGCACUUUAAGUUGGGAGGCGUUACCAACAGAAUAAGCACCGGCUAACUUCGUGCCAGCAGCCGCGGUAAUUC
rnacentral:rRNA from 1 species